GAUGAACGCUGGCGGCGUGCCUAAUACAUGCAAGUCGAGCGAACAGACGAGGAGCUUGCUCCUCUGACGUUAGCGGCGGACGGGUGAGUAACACGUGGAUAACCUGCCUAUAAGACUGGGAUAACUUCGGGAAACCGGAGCUAAUACCGGAUAAUAUAUUGAACCGCAUGGUUCAAUAGUGAAAGACGGUUUUGCUGUCACUUAUAGAUGGAUCCGCGCCGCAUUAGCUAGUUGGUAAGGUAACGGCUUACCAAGGCAACGAUGCGUGGCCGACCUGAGAGGGUGAUCGGCCACACUGGAACUGAGACACGGUCCAGACUCCUACGGGAGGCAGCAGUAGGGAAUCUUCCGCAAUGGGCGAAAGCCUGACGGAGCAACGCCGCGUGAGUGAUGAAGGUCUUCGGAUCGUAAAACUCUGUUAUUAGGGAAGAACAAAUGUGUAAGUAACUAUGCACGUCUUGACGGUACCUAAUCAGAAAGCCACGGCUAACUACGUG
rnacentral:rRNA from 1 species